GGGAUAACUAUUGGAAACGAUAGCUAAUACCGCAUAAGAGUAGAUGUUGCAUGACAUUUGCUUAAAAGGUGCAAUUGCAUCACUACCAGAUGGACCUGCGUUGUAUUAGCUAGUUGGUGGGGUAACGGCUCACCAAGGCGACGAUACAUAGCCGACCUGAGAGGGUGAUCGGCCACACUGGGACUGAGACACGGCCCAG
rnacentral:rRNA from 1 species